rnacentral:tRNA from 1 species
GGGUAGGUGGUCGAGUGGUUAAUGGCACCAGACUGUAAAUCUGGCGACGAGAGUCUACGAUGGUUCGAAUCCAUCCCUGCCCACCA